UUAUUAUCAUGAGAUAAAAACAAAAAAAAAAAAUAUAAAUCUGUAUAGCUUUAAUAAAUUAAAAUUAUUGAUAAUACCUAUAUUUAUUGAAAAGGUGGGAUAUAAUGGUAUGUUUUUGCAGGACUGAUUUGAAGUAAAGUAGUACAGAAUCAUGGACUCUUAAACCUGCAGAUAAAAAGCUAUUACAGAAGACCGUUGAACAGUUCUGUCCUGUUUCUCAGGCCUAACAAUGUCUAAUUAUUCCUACAGGAAGUCUCUGCUUUCCAGUAAAACUGCUUAAAUUUAACACACUUUACCGGAGAUGCCGUUAUAUGAGAUGCUAUUGAAACUGCAUCUGGAUUAUUACAUAGCAGAUUCUUCCUAUUCAAAAAAAGUCAAUUCAAGCUGACAGAGGUGCAGAAAAGGGCUCUGCCAAAAAGCAAGGAAGUAAGAAAUUAUUGCUCUGGAAAGAUAUUCUCUUCAAAGUAUCAUUGAGGUGGCUUAAGAAAUUAUUGCAACCAUGUUUGCUGCCUUGUUUGAUGAUACAGCUCUUUCAGCCAGGUCAGUGGAAAGGGUAGUGUCAUCGUCUACCUCUACACAAGUCAUCCACUUAACCUAAAUUCCCAGGUCCAUCAGCUGUUGGCCUGUUAAUUUUCAGCUUUGUAAGAGAAGUUCACAAUCAACAGGCUGGUUUUGAUGACUCUCCUCCACCAUCCCCAGGAUCUUUGUAUAAUAUUAUUUCAUUCCAA